AUGCCCCCGCCCUUGGACGUGUCGAUCGCCUCCAGCAUCGUCACCACCUCCGCCAUCUCCGGACGCUUGUCGGGGUUCGCGUCCCAGCACCGCUUCAUCACGUUCGCAAACGCGCUCGGGCAGCACCGCGGGAUCUCCGGCCUCAGGUUCUGCAGGAACAACAGCGGACGUGACCUCCGAGAAGCUCAGGUCCGCGUACGGCAUGUCGCAGCAGUACACCUCCCAAAGGCAGAUCCCGAAGCUGUAGACGUCACACUUCCUGUUGUAAGCGUUGCCGUUGAGAACCUGCACAUCAGAUGCCAACGAUAUAAGGCAUGUAUUGUAACAUGCAGGGGGGCUGUUUGA
rnacentral:rRNA from 1 species